rnacentral:rRNA from 1 species
UACAGAGGGUGCGAGCGUUAAUCGGAAUUACUGGGCGUAAAGCGUGCGUAGACGGUUAUUUAAGUCGGGUGUGAAAGCCCCGGGCUCAACCUGGGAAUUGCAUUCGAGACUGAAUAGCUAGGGUACGGUAGAGGGAAGUGGAAUUUCCGGUGUAGCGGUGAAAUGCGUAGAUUAGUCGAAGGAACACCCGUGGCGAAGGCGGCCAUCUGGACCAGUACGUGACGCUGAGGCACGAAAGCGUGGGAGCAACAGG